GGCUUUUUACGCACAGCAGAAACGCGUGGAUUAAUACAAAUACUAAACUAGUUGGGGGAACAGAGAACGUGAAAAUGGACGAGAAGCCUCAAGUGGAGAGAUAUCAGAGAGAGAGAGAGAGAGAGAGAGAGAGAGAGAAUGGACCAGUCUGGAGAGGCUGAGAACAAUGCUGCUGCAGUGGCCACAACAUCAGGAGUGGGAACCAGUGUGUCCAGUGCGCGGGCUUGCUAUAGGUGAGCCCAUAACGGUUUGGUGUAACGUGGCCCAUCCUCUCCUGAAUCGGCCCCCAGGGACCUGUCCUGGAUAGUCGCCUACGAGAUCCUCCUGGUCAUGG
ensembl:lncRNA